rnacentral:rRNA from 1 species
GAUGAACGCUGGCGGCGUGCUUAACACAUGCAAGUCGAACGGAAAGGCCCAAGCUUGCUUGGGUACUCGAGUGGCGAACGGGUGAGUAACACGUGGGUGAUCUGCCCUGCACUUCGGGAUAAGCCUGGGAAACUGGGUCUAAUACCGGAUAGGACCACAUUCUGGAUGGUGUGGUGGAAAGAUUUUCGGUGUGGGGUGAGCUCGCGGCCUAUCACCGUGUUGGUGGGGUGAUGGCCUACUACGGCGUCUGCGGGUAGUCGGCCUGCGAGGGUGUACGGCCACAUUGGGGCAGAGAUACGGCCCAGACACCCACGCGGGGCAGCAGUGGGGGAGAUUGCACAAUGGGCGCGAGCCUGAUGCGGCGACGCCGCGUGGGGGAGGACGGCCUUCUGGUUGUAAACUCCUUUCGCUAGGGACGAGGCGUUUUUGUGACGGUACCUGGAGAAGAAGCACCGGCUAACUACGUG